GAUCGAUGAGGUAUGUUGUAGAAAUGCCACUGCCCAAGUUCCCUGUGGGCUUGGGAGGACGUCAGGCCAGGAAUUAGGGCCGGGCCCUCCAGGGCUCAUGGGUACCCAUGGAUCACAGGCCAGGGCACUGGAUGGGGCUCCAGCAGGAAGGAGGGUGCCUCACCUCGGCACAGCACUGGAUAGGGCUGGGCUCAUGAGUGUAGCUACAAUCACCAAAGCUCAGGAAGCUGGUCCAGACGAGACGAGCGUCCACGGCGUACCUCGGCUAUGCGUGGGGCCAGGUUUGGCCUGCUUCACUCCCUGCUGUGGUCGGGCUGGGCUGACCAGCAGUGACCGGCGCUUGUGCCUGCUGGCACGCAGACCAGCCCGCCUGGCAAUGGUGACAUGGCAUGGUCACCACUAAGCCCACUGUAUGAGUGUCCCAGGGCUGCUAGAACCGACGACCACACCCUGGGCGUCCCGAACAACAGAAAUGCAUUCUCUCACGGUUCUCAAAACCAAGGUGUCGGCAGGGCCGCUUCCCUACAGCCACCUCUCCCAGCUCUCGGCGGUGCCAGCAACCCUGGGCCCUCCCUGGCUUGUGGCUGCACCGCUCCAGCCUCUGCCUUCGCCUCCUCCGAGUGUCUGUGUCUUCUCUUCUCCCAAGGACACCAGUCAUUAGAUGAGGGCCCUAAUUCAGUGCGGCCGCACCGUAACUAUUUACGUCUGCAAAGACGGUCUUUCCAAACGAGCUCUCAUGCUGAGGUUCUGGGUGGACAUGAACUCGUAGGGGGUUCCUCGACCCAGAGCACCCACACUACGACGACAACAAAAUCUCACUCAAGUAACCCAUGCUCCUCGCCUUUCUCCUGCCCGCUAGCAUGCCCCCGGAGUCCCCAAGAUCCUGGUGGGGAACCGCCUGCACCUGGCGUUCAAGCGGCAGGUGCCCACGGAGCAGGCCCAGGCCUACGCCGAGCGCCUGGGCGUGACCUUCUUUGAGGUCAGCCCUCUGUGCAAUUUCAACAUCACAGAGUCGUUCACGGAGCUGGCCAGGAUCGUGCUGCUGCGGCAUGGGAUGGACCGGCUCUGGCGGCCGAGCAAGGGUAGGCCCAGGGGCUAUUCCGGGGGCCACCUCUGCCCUCCAGAUGCCGAGGUGGUUCAGCGGCCCCCUGGAUAAGUGUCUGCUUCCCGGGACCCGUCUCAAGGCCACUGUGUCCGUUCUCAGAGCAAGGCAUUUGAGAGAAGUAAUGACUACAGCUUUGUCAGAAAGCUCAUGAGGGAGCUCCUGGGAUCUGUACGUGGGCAGAGGGGACGUCGCGGCAGGGCUUGCUGCAUGUACAAGCCAGGGCCACGGGUGUCCGAGCCUUGGGAAGGCGGGAGAACAGGUGUGGGCGCCACCCCUCAUUCCCAGCCCAGGUGGGGACAUCCACUAAGCACGGUUUAUCUUUUCUCUCCCAAGUGCUGAGCUUGCAAGACCUCUGCUGCCGGGCAGUCGUGUCCUGCACGCCGGUGCACCUGGUGGACAAGCUCCCGCUCCCCAUUGCCUUAAGAAGCCACCUCAAGUCCUUCUCGAUGGCCAACGGCCUGAAUGCCAGGAUGAUGCACGGCGGUUCCUACUCCCUCACCACCAGCUCCACCCACAAAAGGAGCAGCCUCCGCAAAGUGAAGCUCGUCCGCCCCCCCCAGAGCCCCCCCAAAAACUGCACCAGAAACAGCUGCAAAAUUUCUUAAGGAAGGCACUGAAAGAAACACGGCGGAAUCUCUCCAGGAGAAGCUCGGCGUUACCCCUGGCAGCUGGCGGAUGCAUCUCAGAUCCCGGUUCCUCUCGGCGAAUGCUGCUUGCGAAUGUGUGCGACGCCUUCCGUGUGAUGGAAACACACUACACCGUCGGACUUCGAAUUUCUACGUGGAUGUGCAUGAAGCUCUUGUUUUCGAUGUGUGUUUGUAAAGGGAAAAUUAGUACUCUGCUCGACUCUUGGUAACAUGAAAUUCUGAAUGUUACUUUAUCAUGAUUGCACUGCAACUUUUUCCUUAAAAGAACUGCUUUUGUAAGAACGGUGAUAUUGGAGUGAUUAGUAUAAAUUCAAUGAAAUUUGAGAAGCAAUGGCAGCGGGAUAAUUUACUGUCACUGAUAUUACGAGAGGGGUCUUUUUGUAAACCUCCUUUUCAAUGUCAAAGCACCAAUUUAUAAAACGCUGCAGAUGUAGAGGUUAUGUGCAACUGAUCUGUCCAGUUUGUGUAUGAAAUGGAUUUGAUAAAGUUUUUGCUAGUUAUUUACUACAUUUUGGGAUUAAUAAGUGAUUUAUAUGCAUAUUUUUCUGUAAAUCUACAGUUUUUUGUACAAGAUAUUCUACAAGUUAUGAAGCUAAGGGAAGAAAAUGCCAAAGAUACCUCUAGUUAUGUUGAACACAGCCAGCGCAGUUUCGACAGGUCAAGGAAGAGCUGUUUCAGUAAAGAAUGAAGUGAAAACACUUACUUAGGAAAAUGUUUCUCAACAAUAAAAUGUAUAGUUGUUUCUCUCUUGGU
rnacentral:sRNA from 1 species